AUGGGUAGAGUGGCGCACGGGUGAGUAACACGUAGGUAAUCUACCUUCGGGUGGGGAAUAACCCAGGGAAACUUGGGCUAAUACCGCAUAAUGCAGCGGCACCACAUGGUGACAGUUGUUAAAGCGGGGGAUCUUCGGAUCUCGCGCCUGAAGAGGAGCCUGCGGCAGAUUAGCUAGUUGGUAAGGUAACGGCUUACCAAGGCGACGAUCUGUAGCCGGCCUGAGAGGGCGGUCGGCCACACUGACACUGACAUACGGGUCAGACUCCUACGGGAGGCAGCAGUCGGGAAUUUUGGGCAAUGGGCGAAAGCCUGACCCAGCAACGCCGCGUGAAGGAUGAAAUCCCUCGGGAUGUAAACUUCGCAAGAAUGGGAAGAAUUAGUAGGGGCUAAUACCCUCUAUGAUGACGGUACCAUUUGUAAGCUCCGGCUAACUCCGUGCCAGCAGCCGCGGUAAUACGGGGGGAGCAAGCGUUGUUCGGAUUUACUGGGCGUAAAGGGCGCGUAGGCGGUCAGCACAAGUCAGUUGUGAAAUCUCCGGGCUUAACUCGGAAAGGUCAACUGAUACUGUGCGACUAGAGUGCGGAAGGGGCAACUGGAAUUCUCGGUGUAGCGGUGAAAUGCGUAGAUAUCGAGAGGAA
rnacentral:rRNA from 1 species